ACUCAAAGGAAUUGACGGGGGCCCGCACAAGCAGCGGAGCAUGUGGUUUAAUUCGAAGCAACGCGAAGAACCUUACCAGGUCUUGACAUCCGGUUAAAGCGGAAGAGAUUCCGUGUGUUUUCGGACGAACCGAGACAGGUGGUGCAUGGUUGUCGUCAGCUCGUGUCGUGAGAUGUUGGGUUAAGUCCCGCAACGAGCGCAACCCUUAUGUUCAGUUACUAACGCGUAAAGGCGAGGACUCUGGAGAGACUGCCGGGGACAACUCGGAGGAAGGUGGGGACGACGUCAAAUCAUCAUGCCCCUUAUGACCUGGGCUACACACGUGCUACAAUGGCCACUACAAAGAGGGACGAGGCCGCAAGGCGGAGUAGAUCUCAGAAAAGUGGUCCCAGUUCGGAUUGUGGGCUGCAACCCGCCCACAUGAAGUCGGAGUUGCUAGUAAUCGCGGAUCAGCAUGCCGCGGUGAAUACGUUCCCGGGCCUUGUACACACCGCCCGU
rnacentral:rRNA from 1 species